rnacentral:rRNA from 1 species
CCUACGGGUGGCAGCAGUGAGGAAUAUUGGUCAAUGGGCGGAAGCCUGAACCAGCCAAGUCGCGUGAGGGAAUAAGGCCCUACGGGUCGUAAACCUCUUUUGCCGGGGAGCAAGGUCGGGGACGUGUCCCGUCCCGGAGAGUACCCGGAGACAAAGCAUCGGCUAACCCCGUGCCAGCAGCCGCGGUAAUACGGAGGAUGCGAUCGUUCUCCGGCUUUAUUGGGUUUAAAGGGUGCUUAGGCGGGCUUUUAAGUCAGCGGUAAAAAUUCGGGGCUCAACCCCGUCCGGCCGUUGAAACUGGGGGCCUUGAGUGGGCGAGAAGAAGGCGGAAUGCGUGGUGUAGCGGUGAAAUGCAUAGAUAUCACGCAGAACCCCGAUUGCGAAGGCAGCCUUCCGGCGCCCUACUGACGCUGAGGCACGAAAGUGCGGGGAUCGAACAGGAUUAGAUACCCUUGUAGUC